rnacentral:rRNA from 1 species
GACGAACGCUGGCGGCGUGCUUAACACAUGCAAGUCGAACGGAAAGGCCCUGCUUUUGUGGGGUGCUCGAGUGGCGAACGUGUGAGUAACACGUGUGUAUCCUGCCCUUGACUUUGGGAUAACUUCAGGUAACUGGGGCUAAUACCGGAUAGGAGCUCCUGCUGCAUGGUGUGCGUUGGAUAGUUUCGGCUGUUGGGGAUGGACUCGCGGGUUAUCAUCUUGUUGGUGGGGUAGUGGCUUACCAAGGCUUUGACGGGUAGCCGGCAUGUGAAGGUGACCAGCCACAAGGGGACGGGGAAAGGACGAAGAAAGCAAGGGGAGGCAGGAGGGGGAAAAAUAGCACAAAAAGAGGAAGCAGGAUGAAGAAAAGGAGGGAGCGGGAUGAGGGACUUCGGGUUGAAAAAAGAAUAAGGAUGUGACGAAGCGUGAGUGACGGUAAUGGGUAAAGAAGCACCGGCUAACUACGUG